rnacentral:rRNA from 1 species
UGUGCCAGCAGCCGCGGUGAUACGGAGGGUGCAAGCGUUAAUCGGAAUUACUGGGCGUAAAGCGCACGCAGGCGGUCUGUCAAGUCGGAUGUGAAAUCCCCGGGCUCAACCUGGGAACUGCAUCCGAAACUGGCAGGCUAGAGUCUUGUAGAGGGGGGUAGAAUUCCAGGUGUAGCGGUGAAAUGCGUAGAGAUCUGGAGGAAUACCGGUGGCGAAGGCGGCCCCCUGGACAAAGACUGACGCUGAGGUACGAAAGCGUGGGGAGCAAANAGGAUUAGAUACCCUGGUAGUCCACGCCGUAAACGAUGUUUUCUAAUUGUUCGUUNUNCNAUAAACGAAGUGAGNUAACGCAGCUAACGCACUAAGUUGACCGCCUGGGGAGUACGGCCGCAAGGUUAAAACUCAAAUGAAUUGACGGGGGCCCGCACAAGCGGUGGAGCAUGUGGUUUAAUUCGAUGCAACGCGAAGAACCUUACCAUNCCCUUGACAUCCAGUGAAUUUUCUAGAGAUAGANUGAGUGCCUUCGGGAACACUGAGACAGGUGCUGCAUGGCUGUCGUCAGCUCGUGUUGUGAGAUGUUGGGUUAAGUCCCGCAACGAGCGCAACCCUUAUCCUUAGUUGCCAGCGGUUCGGCCGGGAACUCAAAGGAGACUGCCAGUGAUAAACUGGAGGAAGGUGGGGAUGACGUCAAGUCAUCAUGGCCCUUACGAGUAGGGCUACACACGUGCUACAAUGGCAUAUACAAAGAGAAGCGACCUCGCGAGAGCAAGCGGACCUCAUAAAGUAUGUCGUAGUCCGGAUUGGAGUCUGCAACUCGACUCCAUGAAGUCGGAAUCGCUAGUAAUCGUGGAUCAGAAUGCCACGGUGAAUACGUUCCCGGGCCUUGUACACACCGCCCGUCACACCAUGGGAGUGGGUUGCAAAAGAAGUAGGUAGCUUAACCUUCGGGAGGGCGCUUACCACUUUGUGAUUCAUGACUGGGGUGAAGUCGUAACAAGGUAACCGAAUCCCGC